UCGGCCGCAUGCGCAGCGACGGGCCCGAGGCCGCGGGGUCGCUCGCUGCCCGCCUGGCGGGGCGGGGGCUCUCUGUCCCGUCGGGAACGUGCAGGCCCUGCUCUGCCAGCGGGAGGGAGGCUGCCCGCACGACCGGAGGGGACGGAGCUGGCAGAGAGCAGCAAGAGAGACUACCAUUUUGGCUCAGAGGACCGAAGGUCAGUUUGGAGCCUCUCACUCCAUAAGCCCUGAGAAGCUUUGGGAAGCUGUGGCAGCAGUGGAGGACUGAGGACCACCAGCAGAGCCUAUAGUAUCCCAGCACCCAGAAGAGCCCACUACUCUUAACAGACCUGGAUGGAUGAAGUGGAAGGCAGGUUUGAGGAAUAAAUCCGUUGUAAGUAAUUCCAAGACAUCCAUAAACAGAAGUCAUGCAGCUUGGUACAGGUGAUUGAGUUCUGGGCCAAAAGACAAGAAUGCCAUUAUUUGCACUUUACAUUUCCACUGGUUUCUCUGAGUCCUUUACUGUGUCAUUAAAGUCAUAUGCCCUGCCUUCUCCUAUGAAUCCUGGAGUUAUAAUAUUGAUACUGUACAAUACACCCCCCUAUUGUCAUAUAGAUAAUAAUAUUAUGUGUUAGGUUUAUGAAUACAAAGUAAGGAUUUACUGUCAGCCACAUCUUUCAUGCUAGCAAAUCAGGAAAAUGGUAAGAUGUUUACUUAGAGAAGGUAUCUUGCCUGGUUUCUCCAUACUUGGUAUUACCUAGGCACUUAUGAAAGUAGAAAUUACUGCUAUUGUUUUACACAAAAACAGAGAUUCUGGAAGAGAAAAUUUUACAUAAUUUGGAACACUUUGUAGUCUUCAGAAUCACCCACAUUUUCCCUGUCACCCAAAUUAUUUUAAAUUGUAAGUAGUUUUGCAAAGCUGUUAGCGUUAUUUUCUCAGCUCGCCCAAAUUUUUUUUCACAAGAUAUUAUCUAUGAUGAAUCACAACAUCUUUUAUUAAUAUAGUUAUAAGAGCAUUAAAGCUGUCAGGUAUCAUUUGCAACUUUUUCUCCUUUAGAUUCAGCACUCCUUCUGAAAAGCUAAUUUAAUAAGUAGGGAAUCUUAAGUUACAAUCAAAUUUAUUAUAUUUACCAGACUUGAAUUUCAGAUGAGGUACCAUUAAAAUGUACUUGAAGAGGAAAGAAUGGAACCGCCAGUGGGCAUUGAAUUAGCAACCUGAAAAAUGACUAAUAAUGUUGUGAUCAAGAGUGUUAUGAUGAUGAGAAGAGAAGGAAAAGGAAUUCUGUUUGUCUUUCUCUGUAUCUUUUACAUGUUGUGCAAGCUGAAAUGAAGACUAGAAUCUCAGCCCAAAGCUUCAGUUGAGGGGAAGGAGUGUCCUCUUUUUAGAUUUUUCCAUGACUGCAAUUCUACCUACCAAUCUCUAAAUUGCUGCUAAAGAAGUAAAUGCUGUUGUUUAUCUGCAUAUGGAAGCACUUGCCUCUGUACACUGCAUGCCAGAUGCUGGGUGAGGUUUGUGCUUGGAAGGUUCUGGAUCAAGGUUUUCAUGUCAGAAAGAGCUCAAUAAAAGGCCUGUUCAAAACCAACCAAACAAAAAAAAACCAAAAAACAAACCAACAAAAAGCAGUCUUUUCCUGGUGCUGAUAUUAGUCUGCUCUCAGUCUUGGUCCCCCAACCCUCUUAACCAAGUCUGUGACAGGGAUCAUAUUUUAUUUACAGAUAUAUGUUAAGGCAGCUUUUUAUUUUGGGGUCACAUUAGUUGCAUUUGUACUGUAGAGAUUUUUAAUUCUGAAAGGUGCUGCCAGCUUUUGUGUACACACUUUAAGCAGAGUUUUUGUUUUUCCGAAGGGCUUGUACUGACUUUCAGAUAUUUAAUAUCUGAAGUUGUGGUUCUCUUUGAUUCAUCGUCUAUUAAAGAAUGUUGGCUGUACUAAAACUGGCAAAGGGGUUAAACAAGAAUAAAAAAGCAAUAUUCCAGAGAACCAGGAUAUCAGAAAAUAUUCCUUUCUUGAAGGUACGUUGCCACCUAGCAAACACUGAGAAUAAUGGUCACACAAAUAGAAAAAAGAAAAUUGAAAAGGCCUGUGAGAUUUUGCUUGAUUUUGAAAAGCUUAAUUGAAGAAAGAGCUUGAGGUUCGAGCAUUCCUACCAUGCUCUUUGUGCAAAGGGAAUUGUCUCUGUGUGGAUGUGGCACAUCAUCAGCAGGACGGAAUAAGUCAACUAUUCAGCUGGCUCUGCUGUAGCUCUAACCCUCCACAGCCGGGAAUGUUCACAUCAGGAAGGGGAGUAGAAGGAUGAUAAAUUAACUCCUUCUGGCAUUUCAGAAGAUGUGUAUGCUGCAAUGCAGAGUCCUUGGUGCUGAAAGUAGCUUUGACAAAGAGGUUAUGGCACAGGGGCCGUAGCUGGCAUGAAGAUUCAGGGUCUUGCUCUAGAAUGCCAUGUUCUUUUGGUCUCUGUUUUACACACAUAGUUCUUUGAGGAAUCUCACAGUUUGAGGAUGAUGAAUUUGCUAAGAAAAAUGGAAGAGGAUCAGAUUGUUACAUAAGAAGAACUAAAUGAACUUUCAGUAGAAGGGUACAAACAACAUGAAAUGUUGUAAUAUCCAGUGCAAGGUUACUGGUGGUAUUAUUAAGGGCAAAAUACUAGAAUUUCUGCUCUAAAUGCUCAGUGAUCAAGAGCUUGAAGACUCCAUUCAUGAAUGAGUAUUUCUUGCUCCAGUCAUCAAACAUCUACACCAAAGCAUAACUUAAGAUGAAAGGCAAGGUUGUGAUGGAAUGUGGAGCUGAUGAGAUAGCUCCAUACUGAGAGCAGAACUGGAGAUGAAAUCAGAGAUGACUGAAUUGAGUUGACUGCACCUCCCUGAAAAGGUAAAGCACAGAAGGAUAGAACCUUUCAAUAAUUAUAAGAAAUCAGAGGGAAAAAACAAGACCCAGAAGACAAAAUGUGAAAACAGCUCACAUACAUAACAUUGCAAUCUCACGGCUUAUGCUGUCAGCAAAAAGAGAUUGGAUGAAUUUCUGCAGACUCAACAGUAAUUGCCAUACGGCAGCAGUUAGUACUGUUGAAGUGCUGGAACUGAUGGGAACCAACUAGGCUGUAGUGGCUGGGAACAGAUGUCCUCAGAAGAGCAUGAGACAGCAUUCUGCAAUGUGAAAGAAAUCCUUGCCUGUGAGUCUAAACUGAUGGUUUGUUUUGUGCACUGGGACAUGUAUCUCUUCUGAGAUAGGAAUUUUAGCUUUUCGCUUGUUUAGUGUCAAUAGAUACCCAGUCUGGUCCUUAGUGAAGCUGGAACAGUCUUUGUAAAUGCAGCCUGGAGGAUAUUAAUUUUCAGCAGUUACAUAUGUUCUAAAUAUCAGCAUUAGGACUAGCAGGGGUGCCUGCAUUUUUCCGUAUAUUCAAGGAGCGCAGUGUCAUGAACAGUUCCUCUCUAGCUCAGUGUGAAUUCAUGUUUUGUCAUGAUCUAGGCAUAACUGACCUUGAGCUGAGCUGUUUAUAUUCCCCCUUGGAGUAAGACUGGUUAAGGUCACGCAGUUCUUUACCAUCGAGCAGUUACAACUGAAGCCACUUAUGUGAAGCUUACUUCAGGAGGUUUGAGGUUGUUGCGUAGUAUUCGCCCAGUGGACAGAAGUAGGAUUUGAACUCACAGCCAGCCAAGGGUGGCCGAAGUCCGGAGGGUCAAAGAACCCGCAUUCAACCCCAGUGAGGAAGAAUCCUGGAACACGUGAUAGCUGUGAGCUUUAUGCCCAUGCUCCCCAUCUAAAGUGAGGGGGGAGGAGACAGACUGUGAUGUUUAAUAGGGAAAGGAGUAAAGGCUGUGAUCUCUGUGCUUAAAUGCUGUUCAAAACAUGCAAAAAAAAAAAAAGUCAUUUUACAGCCUUCUGCUUAGAAGUAGUUUAUCUAAGGGCUGCUCUUGAAAGGAAUUGCUAGUAAGGUCAGUCUGGAAGGCUAGUUACAGGCAGGAUUUAGUAUUAAACUAAUGUUCCUUGUCUUGUGUUGUAUAUUGCAUACAGGCUUGCUGCUGUCUUGUCUGAACCAGCUUCUCAAUUUGCUUAAGAAGAAUCAUGUGAAUAAAAAGGAACUGGGUUUGCAGAGUUGUCACCAUUACUCCACUGGAAGACACAACCAGAAAACAUGUACUCUGAAGAAGGAAGCAAGCUUACAAACUCUGUAUGUCAGAGCUCUGCUUAGCAGCCCUCAGCAGGGCAGCAGAACCAGGCCCCAGAUACAGAGCUGGAACGAUCAGAUUAUUACAAGAAUACAAGGUAUGAAUUCCAGAAAGUUCAAACAAAUUCCUUCUGCUUGUUCAUAUCAAGAUUUAUAUAAAUAGUAUAACGCAAGACUUGGCAAGGUAAUUUUCCUUCAGUUUUGCCAUAUGUUUCUUCACAAGCCUGUCCCCCAUUAAAAAAAAGCAGGAUACCUAAUACUAGAGGUCUGCCUGAUGUCUCAACAUGUGCAUGCGUAGUUCUGUUGGCUGCAGUGCUACUGCAGUAAGGGCAAAGUAGUCAGAGCCAAUUUGUCUGUAUCUGCAGAAGUGAGUUCUCAGUGCUUGGUUGUGCUAUAAAGCCAGUCCCUGAGAAUCUCUGACAGUAAUUGUAAUUCUCCUUCUCAAAUCUAGACCAGUGUUUAAAGCGGAGGAAGCACAGGAACCUCCUGAACAGUUUCUUCCCCCGUUGCUUGUCAGUGAUUUCACUGCAAUGCCUAGAAAAAGCAAAGCAGUUCAGACGGCAUCUAUUUCUGGUGUGAAAUCCUAGUUGUGGAUUCCCAGUGCUGAUGUGUUUUUCAGACCCUCUGUUGAAUUUCUAAGCUCUCUUGGAAUAACAGCUGCUGGGGGGGGGGGAGGGGGAAGAGAACUGGAAUCCCCA